CUGUUAUAAUGAUCAUCAUUUUUAGUUUUUCCUUCUGGGAAAGCUAACAUCUCAUUAAGUCCCGUCAUACACCAAGUUAUAGCUGAAAGAACUUCAUAUCCUGAAUCUCUGCAUAUUCCAACCAAGAUAUUUGACACUCUCUUUGAUAGGCCCAAUUAUUUUGAUAACACUUAAAUGUGAUCACAUAAUUAUAAAAUUUCAUUGUUGUUCUAAUAUCUGAUGUGAUCAAAUUUUAGGAAAUAGGACCUUAAUACUUAAAGAUAAAACUUUCAUAUGAGUUUUCACAAAAGGGGUAUGGCUCUUCAAACUACCCUUCUUCUUUUUGUUUCCAA
rnacentral:lncRNA from 1 species